rnacentral:rRNA from 1 species
CAAUGUGAACGUUACCAAACUGUUGCCUCGGCGGGAUCUCUGCCCCGGGUGCGUCGCAGCCCCGGACCAAGGGGCCCGCCGGAGGACCAACCAAAACUCUUAUUGUAUACCCCCUCGCGGGUUUUUUUAUAAUCUGAGCCUUCUCGGCGCCUCUCGUAGGCGUUUCGAAAAUGAAUCAAAACUUUCAACAACGGAUCUCUUGGUUCUGGCAUCGAUGAAGAACGCAGAGAAAUGCGAUAAGUAAUGUGAAUUGCAGAAUUCAGUGAAUCAUCGAAUCUUUGAACGCACAUUGCGCCCGCCAGUAUUCUGGGGGGCAUGCCUGUCCGAGCGUCAUUUCAACCCUCGAACCCCUCCGGGGGGUCGGCGUUGGGGAUCGGCCCUCCCUUAGCGGGUGGCCGUCUCCGAAAUACAGUGGCGGUCUCGCCGCAGCCUCUCCUGCGCAGUAGUUUGCACACUCGCAUCGGGAGCGCGGCGCGUCCACAGCCGUUAAACACCCAACUUCUGAAAUGUUGACCUCGGAUCAGGUAGGAAUACCCGC